UCCUACGGGAGGCAGCAGUGAGGAAUAUUGGUCAAUGGGCGCAAGCCUGAACCAGCCAUGCCGCGUGCAGGAAGAAGGUCCUAUGGAUUGUAAACUGCUUUUAUUCGGGAAUAAACCUCCUUACGUGUAGGGAGCUGAAGGUACCGAAUGAAUAAGCACCGGCUAACUCCGUGCCAGCAGCCGCGGUAAU
rnacentral:rRNA from 1 species